UACGGAGGGUGCGAGCGUUGUCCGGAAUCAUUGGGCGUAAAGGGCGCGUAGGUGGCCCGGUCAGUCUUUGGUGAAAGCGCGGGGCUCAACCCUGCGUCGGCCAGGGAUACUGCCGCGGCUCGAGCACUGUAGAGGCAGGUGGAAUUCCGGGUGUAGCGGUGGAAUGCGUAGAGAUCCGGAAGAACACCGGUGGCGAAGGCGGCCUGCUGGGCAGUUUGGCUGACACUGAGGCGCGACAGCGUGGGGAGCAAACAGG
rnacentral:rRNA from 1 species